UGAUGGUACAUGUGGGUGAGCCCAGA
rnacentral:piRNA from 1 species